rnacentral:rRNA from 1 species
UGAUCUCCGUUAAGGAGAUCUUUUGGCACCUCUAAAAAUGGUGCAGAAUAAGGGGUGAGCAAGUCUGGUGUCAGCCGCCGCGGUAAUACCAGCACCCCGAGUGGUCGGGACGUUUAUUGGGCCUAAAGCAUCCGUAGCCGGUUCUACAAGUCUUCCGUUAAAUCCACCUGCUCAACAGAUGGGCUGCGGAAGAUACUAUAGAGCUAGGAGGCGGGAGAGGCAAGCGGUACUCGAUGGGUAGGGGUAAAAUCCGUUGAUCCAUUGAAGACCACCAGUGGCGAAGGCGGCUUGCCAGAACGCGCUCGACGGUGAGGGAUGAAAGCUGGGGGAGCAAACCGGAUUAGAUACCCGGGUAGUCCCAGCUGUAAACGAUGCAAACUCGGUGAUGAGUUGGCUUCAUGCCAACUCAGUGCCGCAGGGAAGCCGUUAAGUUUGCCGCCUGGGGAGUACGGUCGCAAGACUGAAACUUAAAGGAAUUGGCGGGGGAGCACCACAAGGGGUGAAGCCUGCGGUUCAAUUGGAGUCAACGCCGGAAAUCUUACCGGGGGCGACAGCAGAAUGAAGGUCAAGCUGAAGACUUUACCAGACAAGCUGAGAGGAGGUGCAUGGCCGUCGCCAGCUCGUGCCGUGAGGUGUCCUGUUAAGUCAGGUAACGAGCGAGACCCCUGCUUCUAGUUGCUACCAUUAUUCUCAGGAGUAGUGGAGCUAAUUAGAGGGACUGCCGUCGCUAAGACGGAGGAAGGAGGGGGCUACGGCAGGUCAGUAUGCCCCGAAACCCUCGGGCCACACGCGGGCUGCAAUGGUAAGGACAAUGAGUAUCGAUUCCGAAAGGAGGAGGCAAUCUCUAAACCUUACCACAGUUAUGAUUGAGGGCUGAAACUCGCCCUCAUGAAUAUGAAUCCCUGUACC